GGACUACUGGGGUAUCUAAUCCUGUUUGCUACCCACGCUUUCGUGUCUCAGCGUCAGUUGCGGUCCAGAGAGCCGUCUACACCACAGGUGUUCCUCCUGAUAUCUACGCAUUUCACCGCUACACCAGGAAUUCCACUCUCCCAUCCCGCACUCUAGCCCUCCAGUUUUCGGCGCACCCUCCCAGUUGAGCCGGGAGAUUUCACACCAGACUUAGAGAACCGCCUACACACCCUUUACGCCCAGUAACUCCGAACAACGCUUGCUGCCUACGUAUUACCGCGGCUGCUGGCAC
rnacentral:rRNA from 1 species